rnacentral:rRNA from 1 species
AUUGAACGCUGGCGGCAGGCCUAACACAUGCAAGUCGAGCGAGCGGCGGACGGGUGAGUAAUGUCUGGGAAACUGCCUGAUGGAGGGGGAUAACUACUGGAAAAGGUAGCUAAUACCGCAUACCAUCAGAUGUGCCCAGAUGGGAUUAGCUAGUAGGUGGGGUAACGGCUCACCGGGGAGACGAUCACUAGCUGGUCUGAGAGGAUGACCAGCCACACGGGAACUGAGACACGGUCCAUACUCCUCCGGGAGGCAGCAGUGGGGAAUAUUGCACAAUGGGCGCAAGCCUGAUGCAGCCAUGCCGCGUGUAUGAAGAAGGCCUUCGGGUUGUAAAGCACUUUAAGUUGGGAGGCGUUACCAACAGAAGAAGCACCGGCUAACUUCGUGCCAGCCGCCGCGGUAAUAC